UACGGAGGCAGCAGUGGGGAUAUUGGACAAUGGGCGAAGCCUGAUCCAGCCAUGCCGCGUGUGUGAAGAAGGUCUUCGGAUUGUAAAGCACUUUAAGUUGGGAGGAAGGGCAGUAAGUUAAUCCUUGCUGUUUGACGUUACCGACAGAAUAAGCACCGGCUAUCUGUGCCAGCAGCCGCGGUA
rnacentral:rRNA from 1 species